CUAAAAUAACCGUUGGAUUUAGGUUUGAGAGUUCUAUGCGACAUGGACUCCCCAACCUGCUGUAAAUCUCAGCAAUCUCAGGUAGAGAAGAGAGCCAAACAUCUCCAGUGAGCAUUUGCUUUCCUCCAACGGAGAUAAGAUGUGUACUUCUAGUGCAACUUCCAUGAGCCAAGUCGACGGACUGAAGUACGUUAACAUUAUACGCAAAUGUCAUAAAAGAGCUGCAAUAAAGGUAUCAGAGUCCUCAAAUAACCCCAACGAAUUGUACUACAGCUGUCCAAAGAUUAUCAAAGAGGAGAAAUGUGGAUUCUUUGCCUGGUGUGAUCCCGUGAAUGUGUCAUCAAUCAUAAGUGCACAUCAAACAACCUCAAUCCUCAUGAUUUUCAAUAGUGGAAGGAUGAGAUGAGCAGUGUGAAGAUAAGAUUGAGACGGUUGGAGAAAUUCAAUGGAACAACAAAGCUUUUUGGUCAAGUUGUUUCAUGUAUUGUUGUUGUUGUGUUGGUUGUGAUGGUUGUAAAAAAUACUUAGAAAUCAUUGUUAGGAUGGUCGGGAUGGUUGUGAUGGUUGUUUUAGGAUUUUGAAUGGAAUGGAUUAGAAAUUUUUGUAGAAAAUAUGUAAUUGACUUGAAUAUGUGCAUAUUCCCAUAUAUAUGGUAAUUAGAAUGUUCUCUUAUUUCAAA